GAUGAACGCUAGCUCCAGGCUUAACACAUGCAAGUCGAGGGGUAACGAGAGGAAAGCUUGCUUUCCUUGUCGACGACCGGCGCACGGGUGAGUAACGCGUAUCCAACCUGCCCCCAACUAGGGAAUAACCCUGCGAAAGUAAGACUAAUACCCUAUAAUUUCCUCAGAUGUCAUCUGACGAGGAAUAAAGAUUUAUCGGUUGUGGAUGGGGAUGCGUCUGAUUAGCUUGUUGGCGGGGUAACGGCCCACCAAGGCAACGAUCAGUAGGGGUUCUGAGAGGAAGGUCCCCCACAUUGGAACUGAGACACGGUCCAAACUCCUACGGGAGGCAGCAGUGAGGAAUAUUGGUCAAUGGGCGGAAGCCUGAACCAGCCAAGUAGCGUGCAGGAUGACGGCCCUAUGGGUUGUAAACUGCUUUUAUACAGGAAUAAAGUUAGCCACGUGUGGUUAUUUGUAGGUACUGUAUGAAUAAGGACCGGCUAAUUCCGUGCCAGCAGCCGCCGUAA
rnacentral:rRNA from 1 species